AUACCAUCACAGGCCUUGAUAUAAUCAACUAAAUGUGCUUUCCCUCUAAUAGGUCACAGAGCAGCCUGCCAAUCAGGAUUAGCAUUGUCGAAAGCUACGUUGGGCGCCACUUGCCGAGACCAGCUCGGUCGGGGAGACCCUAACCUAGUGGCACUAGAAGAAUUAAAGACACACACACAGAAAUAUAGAGGUGUGAAGUGGGAAAUCAGCAGCUACUCGGGAGGCUGAGGCAGGAGAAUCGUUUGAACCUGGGAGGCAGAGGUUGCAGUGAGCCGAGAUUGCACCACUGCACUCCAGCCUGGGCGACAGAGCGAAACUCAGUCUCAAAAAAAAAAAAAAAAAUUUGCUGGGUGUAGUGGUGGUGCCUGCAGUCCCAGCUACUAGGGAGGCUGAGGCUGGAGAAUUGCUUGAACCUAACCUGGGAGAAAGAGGUUGCAGUGAGCCGAGAUCGUGCCACUGCACUCCAGCCUGAUUGAGGCCUUGUCUCAAAAAAAAAAAAAAAAUAUGAGAUUUGAUAAAUUUUUUUUUUUUUUUUAGACAGAAUCUUGCUCUGUCGCCCAGGCUGGAGUGCAGUGGUGCGAUCUCGGCUCACUGCAAGCUCUGCCUCCUGGGUUCAUGCCAUUCUCCUGCCUCAGCUUUUUUGAGACGGAAUCUCACUCUGUCACCCAGGCUGGAGUGCAGUGGCAUGAUCUCAGCUCACUGGAAGCUCUGCCUCCCAGGUUCACACCAUUCCCUCAGCCUCUCAAGCAGCUGGGACUACAGGCGCCAGCCGCCAUGCCUGGCUAAUUUUUUUUGGUAUUUUUUAGUACAGAUGGGGUUUCACCGUGUUAGCCAGGAUGGUCUAUAGACGAGUUGAAUAGGUAGAAGGUUUCUGCAAGUAUUUCUGUGACUGAAUCUCAGAAGGGGGCAGUUAGACUUAAGCCACCAUAAAACUGGUAAAUUCCUCCUGCUUUACCUAUCAUGGGAAACGGGGCCACUUAUCCCAAAAUCCGUAGCUUAGUCAUAGAUUCGUAGGAUACACCUUUAUCAAAGUUCUGUCUAAGCAGUUGUAACAUCUGAUGCUAGGAGUAUUAAGGAAAGCAGGAAUGUAGAUUUUUAAAUAACCAAGAAUGGGCAUUAUCUAAGUAAUCUACCUCCAGAACUUGCAUGUGUGUUUUUGGUGGGCAGGAGCUCAUCUUCAGAAUUACUGUCAGAGCCUGUGACACAUUCCUUUGAAAAUCCUCAUGGUGGCAGAUUUCAAUUCUUUGAGGGUAAAGUUUC
rnacentral:lncRNA from 1 species